rnacentral:misc_RNA from 1 species
UUGGCGACGGCGAACUGGCCGCGCUCAGCCUUCGGCAGAUAGACGCUUUUGCGCGAGCCCGAACCGAGCUGCAAAGCGACGUAUCCAUUCUUCUCGGUCGUGCGAUGGCCAACAACCUGGCAAUUGCCCAACUUGAGCACGGUCACAGGGAUAUGUUCACCGGUCUCCGUAAAGACCCGCGUCAUCCCGACCUUUUGUGCGAUCACUCCGGAGCGCAUCGGCGUGCUUCCUGUUCUUUCUGUCCCGAGGGACUAACUAACUUAUCUUGUGAGC